rnacentral:rRNA from 1 species
CCUACGGUGGCUGCAGUGGGGAAUAUUGGACAAUGGGGGCAACCCUGAUCCAGCCAUGCCGCGUGUGUGAAGAAGGCCCUCGGGUUGUAAAGCACUUUCAGUGAGGAAGAACGCCUGGUGGUUAAUACCCAUCAGGAAAGACAUCACUCACAGAAGAAGCACCGGCUAACUCCGUGCCAGCAGCCGCGGUAAUACGGAGGGUGCGAGCGUUAAUCGGAAUUACUGGGCGUAAAGCGCGCGUAGGUGGCUUGAUAAGCCGGUUGUGAAAGCCCCGGGCUCAACCUGGGAACGGCAUCCGGAACUGUCAAGCUAGAGUGCAGGAGAGGAAGGUAGAAUUCCCGGUGUAGCGGUGAAAUGCGUAGAGAUCGGGAGGAAUACCAGUGGCGAAGGCGGCCUUCUGGACUGACACUGACACUGAGGUGCGAAAGCGUGGGUAGCAAACAGGAUUAGAUACCCUAGUAGUC